rnacentral:rRNA from 1 species
UACAGAGGUCUCAAGCGUUGUUCGGAAUUACUGGGCGUAAAGGGUGCGCAGGCCGCGCGGGCAGUCAAAUGUGUAAUUCAGGGGCUCAACCCCUGCACUGCGCUUGAUACUUCCGCGCUCGAGCUUUGGAGAGGACGUCUGGAAUUCUCGGUGUAGCAGUGAAAUGCGUGGAUAUCGAGAAGAACGACUUAGGGCGUAGGCAAGACUCUGGGACAAAUGCUGACGCUCAUGCACGAAGCUAGGGUA